UACAGAGGGCGCGAGCGUUGUCCGGAAUCACUGGGCGUAAAGGGCGCGUAGGUGGCCACCAUAAGGCCGCGGUGAAAGUUCGGGGCUCAACCCCGGAUCGGCCGCGGCGACUGUGGGGCUCGGGUACUGUAGAGGCAGAUGGAAUUCCGGGUGUAGCGGUGGAAUGCGUAGAGAUCCGGAAGAACACCAGUGGCGAAGGCGGUCUGCUGGGCAGUGGGAUCGGAAGGUCCCUUCAACCGACACUGAGGCGCGACAGCGUGGGA
rnacentral:rRNA from 1 species